GAAAAAGCGAUGAAGAUUAAAGGAGUUGGUGAUUAAGAAGGAAGAAGAGGUGGAGAUCAAAAAAUAACAUGAACAAUGCUGGAAAGAAGGGGUCUACGGAUGACAUCUUCCCUGAAACGUCUGCCGAUGUUUCUGAAUUUUCUGAGAAUAUGGGUUAUAUAUCUGAAAUCACUUCAUGGGUAACUCAGAAGCGCAACAAUUUUCCAAUAUAUGAGGAAAAUACAAUGGAGGAUGAACAAGAAUUGGAGAUUAAGAAUGAAGAGGUGGCAGAAAUGAAGUGCAAUAAAGAGCUCGAUUCUUUUGACAAGAUUGCGUUGUACAUGCAGCAAGGGGAAACAAUUAGAUAAGCAAUGCAGAGGCUGGAGGAUGACUCCUUCAUUGAAGCUGUGGGGAUCCUUGUUUCUAUUGGUUAGAACACUCUGGAGCUGUUAGAUUUAAUGAAGAAGGAAGAGUUGGAACGGUAAAGCAACUGCUUAAAUUAAGGCUGUGCGUUUGGAUCGGAUCCAAAUAGAACCGAUUUGAUCCAAGCCAUAUAAGGUGGGUCGGAUCGGGUUUUUUAAAAAAUAUUUUUUUAUAUUUAGGAACCGAUUACUGUUAGAUCUAUAUUAGAAUGAUAUGAACCGUUAGAUUAUUAGGGUAAUUUUUUGAUGGGUUAUUUAGAAUCAAAACAUGCUAUUCUAUUUUCACAAAUCUCCUAGUGCCUUUGAUUUUG